UGAUGUGGCCUGAAUGACCUGGAGGCACCAACUCCUCUCUGGUCAUGGAAUCUAAGCAGGGUCAGCCCUGGUUCGUAUUUGGAUGGGAGAUCGCCUACAAAUAUCAAUAGGGUCUCUGUAC
rnacentral:rRNA from 11 species